rnacentral:lncRNA from 1 species
CAGCAGGAAGGGCCGGCGGGAAGGGGGGGUGGAAAGAGCCACUCCUGGUUAAUAACUCUGCGGGGUUAACCUAGGGCCGGCCAUACUCAAGUACGGACUUGAGUAAAAUUCAGCAGGAAAAGGAGCAGGGUGGGCGCCGCUAGAGGGAGGCUUCAGGACUGAGGGUCAGAGGCCCAAGGCCUGGCAGGGCCCUUCCCUGGUCAGCUCCAGGCUUGGCCUGAUGCCCGGUGGGCCACGGGCCUCUUCCAGCCUCAGGCUGACCCCAGAGAAAGAGGACAGCCCACAAGCCCGGGAGGCCGGCUUGCUGCCUGGUCAUUGCUGCAGAGCCUGGAGGGGGCCUGCGCUCAGUCCCCGCUGACCGUCCCCUCCCUUGACCCUGCCAUAGCCAUCUGUGUAACCCAGGGGAAAUUAUUCCAAAGGGACUUCCACUUCUGAUAAUCUAUGAUUCUAUUUUCUAAAAAACAAAACUCUAAAAUGCUUAAUGUCAAACAUCUGUCAUCAGCUGAACAGGAAAAGGAACAGUAAGUACAAAGCAAGGCAACAUCAGAAAAGGGAGCCCUGAGGAAUUUCUCCCUCCUUCCCUGAGCCGGGUGAGGCCGUGACUGCAGCCUGACUCACAGGUCCUUCCAAAGUGCCUACGGAAAGCUUUGUCCCAUCCUUGAAAAAUUGCUAAUGGGUUUGGAGAUACGAGGUGGAGAUGACUAGCAAUCAAACUCAAAGGUGGAAGUCACAUCGAGGCAGAUGAGCAGAUGAGGGGACCUAGAGAAGAAGAGAGGUGCAAGGAGAGCCCAGCCAGCAGGAACAUCUGCCCCAGUAGGCAGCACUGCCCCACAUCAGAGUCGAGGAAAGCAAAGCUCGGAUUGGAUAAAAGAAACUUGCAAACACGGUCAGUGCUUACUGCAUGUGGGCUCAGAGCACGUUACCCUCCUUCCCUGCAUGUUCCUGUGAAACGGGUUUACUGCUCUAACUCUCAGGGACACUGUGAAGACCAAACGAGAAAAUAGAAACAAACAUAAUUUAUAAACCAUAAAGUACUGACACCAAAAGAGGGGCGAGCACAGCAUUGUGAAUGUGCUGGUACUAAAUGGUUUGUUUUAAGAUGAUUUUAUGGUGUGUGAAUUUCACUUGAAUAAAUUUUUUUAAUGGAGUUCA